AAAUAUUAAAUGCUGUUAUAUAUUUAUUAUAUAUAUAGUCAUCAUGGUCAUAGUAUCAUGUAUAUAAUCAUGGCAAUUGAGAACCCUUAACAUGCAUAAGUUUCUAUAAGGUCAACAAACAGUAUAUGUUUCAGGUUACCAUGGUUACAAGCUUGAAAAUUGUAGGAUUGAUGGGAAAGGUUAUCUGGUUAUUGUGCCUAAAUUAAACUAGCAUUUCAAUUUUUGCAGAAAUUUUCUUUCACAUAACAUGCAUAAUAUGCAUGAUAUGUAUUAUGUUAUUAAAAUAUUGAGUCCCAUACAGAAAAAAAGUUUAAUUAGAUCAGGUGGAACAUUGGAGAGGAAAAAAACUUAAAAAAAAACUAGUUGGUAUGUUUUGCGGAGGGAAGAAAAACAAAGCUAUUUAUUACCACUGACAUGUGUGCUGAAUUCUAGAAAUUUUUGUGUGUUAAUGUUUGUAUUACAGUCAUGAAAGUAUGAAUAAGUUAAAUUAUAUUUUUCUGGUCUACAUAAAUGUCACAGCAAC
rnacentral:lncRNA from 1 species